CAUCAUGUCAUUUCACCUAUAAAUACUUGAGUAUGCAUCUUUACUUAAAAUAAUACAAAACACAAUAUCUAUAUGUAUCUUUCUAUCCAUCUAGAUGCCUAUCCAUCCAUUCAUCCACCAUCCAUCCACCCAACCAUCCAUCCAUCCACCAUGCAUCCACCAUCCACCCACCAUCCAUCCAUCCAUCCACCAUCCAUCCAUCCAUCCAUCCACCAUCCAUCCAUCCAUCCAUCCACCAUCCAUCCAUCCAUCCAUCCACCAUCCAUCCACCAUCCAUCCAUCCACCAUCCAUCCAUCCAUCCAUCAUCCAUCCAUCCAUCCAUCCAUCCACCAUCCAUCCAUCCAUCCACCAUCCAUUCAUCCAUCCAUCC
rnacentral:lncRNA from 1 species